GCGUCGGUAGAGCAACGGUUCAGCACGCGCACUUAGAAAGAGUGAGGUCGGGGUUUGAAUCCCAGCUAACGCA